CAAUCCAUCAGUCGUCCGUCGCCAACGCAAAGCCCGUGCUCUCUCCUCUGCGACCUCCAUCUAUCUCCUCCGCCGCGACGUGACGCGACGCAGCCACCGGCGGCAACUCCCUUCCUUCCUCCACGAGUUAGGGUUUUCAGGUACGGUGGCCACUUCCGUUCUCCUUUCGAUCUCCUGAUGAACCACCUUGUUGGCUGCAGCUACCUCGCUCCACCAGCUGCAUCACCGAGGAACCUGCAGCGGCGGCAAGAAAAGAUCCCCUGCGUCUAGGGGAUUUCGCGCUUCGGCAGCCGCGGGCGAGACCAAACAUCCUUGCUCUCCACCUCUGCCCAGCAACGCCUAGCGCAGCCGCCGGAGAUCAUGGGGACACGGGAGGUGUAUGAAGAGAAGCUCCGAAGCGGCGCCCACCUCCACCGUGACCCCACCAUCAACCCUGGCCUUGGCUCUGCCCGCUGCCCUCGUUGUCUCUCCCUUCUCAACCCUACCACCAACUCUGGAGAGGGCGACUGGGCCGUCACCUCCGUCCUGCACGAUGCCACCUCUGUGACUGGUGCGGGUGCUGGCGCGAUGCUCAGUGCCAUCCACGGGUUUAAUACAGGGAUCCCGUUUGUCCAGAAGCAUGUGAAGGGGCCAAAGUGGCUGCAUUUACUUGUUGGGGUCCCUCCUUUGAUCCUACUCUCUGGUGCAAGUUCUUUAUUUGGUGCAUAUGCCCUCCCGACUUUUGCUCAACUCACUGUGACAUCGUAUUAUGCUGCAUCAAGUGCCUCACACUAUGCAAUUUCACAGAUCACGCGCCAGAUCGAGAAGUUCCAUCUAUCGGGCACUAAUGAGAAAUCUUCAUGAGCUGCUCUCAAUCAGUUUGAGUUGGUGCAGAUGCCAUGUACAUGAUUGUUGUUACAAACCUGCUGACAUCAAUUUGUUGGAAGAGAAGAAAAUUGUCGGGCAAGUCGGUGAGUCCGUGGCGUACCUGAACAGCAGCAACGCUUACAUAGAAGCUGAGCUUUGUUUUUUGAACGGACAUAGAAGCCGAGGGUGUUCUGUUGGCAAUGAGCGUUUUAACAGAUGGGGGUGUGAUGGCUGUCAAAAAUGCUGCAUGUGAGAGGCUUGUGGAGCAGAGGGUGGAGAACUGGAGAACUGGAGAUCAAGAUGAAAUCAAAGAAGAUCACAGGGAGGCCUACUUUCAUCCCUCAGGGUGUCCUGGAGGCUCAAGCAGUUGCUGUUGCAAAGGAAAAGAAGAAACUUUGAGAGGGACCCUGAGAAUGAAAAUCGAGGUGCUGGUGUCUAUUCUGCCAGUCUCAAGAAGCAUUAUAUAUUGGCCAAUUAUGAAUGGAAGGAAGGCAUUCUCCCUGAGAUAUUGCAUGAACAAAAUGUUGCUGAUUUCCUGGAACCAGAUAUCUUGAAAAGUUGUGAGAACUGGAAAGGGAGGAGGGGCUCCGUCUUGAAGAGGAAGCUGCCAAAGAUGCUUUCAUGAUCGGUGGCCAUGAUGAAUUAACUGAAGAGCAGCUUGAAAUAUUGGGCAAGAGUAGGAAGAAGGCAAUGCUCAACCAAAAGCAUAGGAUGAACAGAACUGCAGAGAGCCAUCCUAUCAUUCCAAGGAAGCAUCACAAAGAUAGGAAAUGCACAACCAAGAGAAUGGGCAGGCAACUUUCAUCCCUGGGCGUUGAUCCUGUGGCUGUGAACCGACUUCGCAGCCAGUGAAGAGGCUUUAAGCGUGAGAGGUGGUGGUAUGGAGGUAGAUGGCCAGCACUCUGCUCAAAAGAAACUGUGAACAAGGUUUAGGUCAAGGUUCCAAUCACGACCGGUCAAGGAGGUCAUACCAGGUUACUCUGCUCAAAAGAAGAAGGCCAUCAAGAAAUCAAGAGACUUGGUGAAGAACGCCAUGGAGAGCCGUGUUGUGAAGCGUAUAAGUGGAUUGUACUAGCCCUUUCCAUCAGUUCGGACUUUUGGUUGGGUUGGCUAGUGCAUGAAGCUUGACAAGGCGGACCGUGUCAUCCCCACCUUGAAACUGCGGCACUGCUGCUUGCCAUCACUGGAUCAGGAACUCCAGGAAUUACUCUUACUAUCGGGCUGGGGAUCAGGGGAGGCUUCAAUACCCAGCCAGCAGGAUGAGAUACUACUGUCUAUACUUCUUUCUGGUUUUCGCUCUCAUUUCGGCAUCUUUUUCUUUUACUAGACUAUAUAUUGUUGCUGAACUACAUGAUACCUCUGGGUUAUUCUGUUAUAUCCAAAUGGGCGCUUGUUUUCUUUUUAUUCAAACGUUAGUACUGUAAUAUUCAACUUGAUAGCUCCUCCAUAGAUUCUUUUUUUUUGUUUCGAUUUGUUCUGUCCGGUUGUUGUCACGAGCACCGUUGAUUGAACACAUGAAGUGUUUUUUUAAGAAAAAAUAUUGGAGUUCCUGACACUAUACAGUAAAUGUGCAUGCUAUCUAUAUGCCUGCAUCAUUUUUGUUUGGGAUGCCAAUUUUAUCAUGAUAUUUCUGUCAGAAUGGCUUGCCUAUCCAAAAGAUGGAAUGUUGCACUUGGAUGUAUGAUUAUCUGCUUAAAAUGUGACCCUGAUAUACUCAUGACUGGCUAUCAGAACUAAUGGAUCUAAACUGGUUAUGCAUGGUGCUGGUAAGAAAAAAGAUUUCGUUUGUGACUGAACAACCAGUUCUGUCAUCCUUGCUCGAGCCUCGAGGAAUGAUCGAGGGUAUUCUUUUUAUUUGUAGCUUAAAUGAUCUAUUCAGUUCUGGAAAUAAUGUUGGUUUUGUUUACUUCUCCCAGGUUGUAGCUGCCAGUGCUAAUCUAGUACUGACCUCUAGUUUGCGAGCUCCUGUAAGAUGUCAAAGCCGCUAAAAUCUGGCUAACCGGGAAACAUAUUAGUCUAUUCCGGAAAUACCUUCAUUCUGAGUUCAAUAUUCUUUAGCUUAUCUGUUGCUCUAGAAUCUCAAAUAUCCCAAUAGAAUCAUAAAUGCUCUACCAAUUUUGUAGUGUAAAUAUGUGGCCGUAACAAGAUUCGGGUUACUUUGGCUCACCCCUGUACAAAACCUUGUAAUGUAAAUAUGUAAUUGCAGAAUGGUGUUCUUGUGCAACUUGUGCAAAAGCUGUAACUAGAUUCUA